UUUAUUUUAAAGAACUAGAUAAUACAAUUGUGGGAGCUGGCUAGUCCAACAUCUGCAGGAUAGGGUGGGAGGCUGGAGACCCAGGAAAGAGCUGAUCUUGCAGCUUGAGUCGAAGGCAGUCUGGUGACAGAUUCCCUCCUCCUCUGGGAGGUCUGUCUUUUCUCAAGAUCUUCAGCUGAUUGGAUGAAGCUCAUCCACAUUAUGGAGGGCAAUCUGCUUUAAUCUAGGCCUACUGAUUUAAACGUUAAUCGCAUCCAAAAAACAGCUUUACCGCAACAUCCAGACUUAUUUGAUCACAUAUCUGGGUACCAUGGCCCAGUCAAGUUGACACAGAAAAUUAACCUUCAGAGUCCAUUAGGAGCAUUCAGAAAAUGAUGCUGUUGUGAUUAAGCUAUAAUCAAAGACUUGAAGGAGUUUGCAUCUAGUGGUAAAGAUAGAUAAUCACAGUGCCAUGUGAUCAGUUCUAUGAAACAGAUGUUUGGGAGACCAUGGGUACAGGCAACAGGGUGUAUGUAGAAAAAAGAAUGCCAGGGAGGGCUCUGAGAGGUAGGAAAGAAGGCUUAUGUUGCAGGCUCUGGGAUGGCCUCUGCCGAUGCAGAUGUCUCAAGAGUAAGAAGAAAAUCCUAUGUGGACACCAGAAAGACCAGAGAUGUCCAGUUCCCCCUCACCAGGCCUAAGCACGUUAGGGUUCAGUGAAAAUAUCUUCCUUAAAUUGGGAGGGUCCCCCACCGGUCUAGGUGGGGGUGAGUAUUCAAGGUAGCCACAGGCAGCAGAGGUGGGGAUGAAGAGUCAGAGUCAUGGUCAGGAGGUGGUGAGGUCAUGGUGGGGAAAAAAAGCAGGGCAUUAAGCCCAAGGGAAAGAACAGACACCAGACCUCAAGCUUCCAGUCAGGAGAUGGGACAGUCAACAUGGAAAAUAAGGAGUGAGGACAGGAGAAGGGAAAGCUUAGAAUUCAACUGCAAACGCAAGCUUGUGCAAAACACUGCCCCGCCCCCACUCCUCCGCAUUUACAGCCAUGGCAUUUAUAGCCAGGUAGCACUAGAGCAGCAGUGGACUAUAAGGGACCAUGUGGAAAGGGACAAGUGGAAUCACAAGCCCCUGGUGCCAACAAAUGAUUGACCAUUGUUGGUACUAGAGCUUUGACCCCUGAAAGAAUCCAUUUGCCUGUGCACCAUGGAGGCACAAAGUCCAGAAGCCAACGGCCUUGUCAUGACGCUUUCCCAAAGAGCCAUCCUUUCCUAGCCGCCUCGACCCACAACACCCAAGGGGUACAGAUGUCCUCAUCUCCAGUCAUUUACCCCAGCCUGGUCCAUUCCCAGUGAGGUUAAGGUUCACAUUUAAGCCAAAAUUUCCAGAUGCAUUUCUUAUAUCCUUGAGCCGUAAAAAUUGAGUGCUUGGUCCAGGUUACAUCCUGGGUGCUCAGAAUGUUUUGCUGCCAACCAUUUGGCCCAAGUCUCAAAGGCGUUCCUCCAGAGUGGAGAUGCUAAUAGGUUUUGAGCGAGUGAAAAACAUUUGACAACAAACUGAAACUUGAACAUAUUGAUAUCUCCAUCACUGACAGCAAGAGCCGGAGAGAGACAAGCGGGAUUCAUCUUGAUUGGCGUGUGGCAACAAUAGUGCAUAGCCUCCAAGUUCUCCCGGAGCCAUGUGUGCUGCCAAUUGUAAAAGGGAGAAG
rnacentral:lncRNA from 1 species